rnacentral:rRNA from 1 species
GACUCCUACGGGAGGCAGCAGUAGGGAAUCUUCCGCAAUGGACGAAAGUCUGACGGAGCAACGCCGCGUGAGUGAUGAAGGUUUUCGGAUCGUAAAGCUCUGUUGUUAGGGAAGAACAAGUACCGUUCGAAUAGGGCGGUACCUUGACGGUACCUAACCAGAAAGCCACGGCUAACUACGUGCCAGCAGCCGCGGUAAUACGUAGGUGGCAAGCGUUGUCCGGAAUUAUUGGGCGUAAAGGGCUCGCAGGCGGUUCCUUAAGUCUGAUGUGAAAGCCCCCGGCUCAACCGGGGAGGGUCAUUGGAAACUGGGGAACUUGAGUGCAGAAGAGGAGAGUGGAAUUCCACGUGUAGCGGUGAAAUGCGUAGAGAUGUGGAGGAACACCAGUGGCGAAGGCGACUCUCUGGUCUGUAACUGACGCUGAGGAGCGAAAGCGUGGGGAGCGAACAGGAUUAGAUACCCUGGUAGUCCACGCCGUAAACGAUGAGUGCUAAGUGUUAGGGGGUUUCCGCCCCUUAGUGCUGCAGCUAACGCAUUAAGCACUCCGCCUGGGGAGUACGGUCGCAAGACUGAAACUCAAAGGAAUUGACGGGGGCCCGCACAAGCGGUGGAGCAUGUGGUUUAAUUCGAAGCAACGCGAAGAACCUUACCAGGUCUUGACAUCCUCUGACAAUCCUAGAGAUAGGACGUCCCCUUCGGGGGCAGAGUGACAGGUGGUGCAUGGUUGUCGUCAGCUCGUGUCGUGAGAUGUUGGGUUAAGUCCCGCAACGAGCGCAACCCUUGAUCUUAGUUGCCAGCAUUCAGUUGGGCACUCUAAGGUGACUGCCGGUGACAAACCGGAGGAAGGUGGGGAUGACGUCAAAUCAUCAUGCCCCUUAUGACCUGGGCUACACACGUGCUACAA